UGGAAACCUGGAAACCAGGGACUCUGCUCCGUACACGACAGACCACUGUCCAUUCACCUGGUCGCAUGAAUUCCAUGCAACACCGCUGCUCCGAUUGCUUUUUCUGUGUCACCAGUAUCUUGUCAGACAAAAGGUUCCCAGCCACACUACGAAGGAUAGACAGCUGCAGAACAAGGGGACGCCAGAACUUCAUUCCAGGACCCCCACCAUCAUUCCAGGACUUCACAAGCUACCCUCCUCAUUUCCCCCGAGAGCCAACUGAUGCCCACUAUUCAGCCAGAAGCAGUCUUUGAGAAGAACGAUGCCCCAUACCCACUCAACCGCCAUUUUUUCUUUCUUUUUUUU